rnacentral:rRNA from 1 species
CCUACGUGUGGCAGCAGUGAGGAAUAUUGGUCAAUGGGCGCGAGCCUGAACCCGCCAAGUAGCGUGAAGGAUGACUGCCCUACGGGUUGUAAACUUCUUUUAUAAAGGAAUAAAGUGAGGCAAGUGUGCCUUUUUGUAUGUACUUUAUGACUAAGGAUCGGCUAACUCCGUGCACGCAGCCGCGGUAAUACGGAGGAUCCGAGCGUUAUCCGUAUUUAUUGGGUUUAAAGGGAGCGUCCAUGGGUUGGUAAGUCAGUUGUGAAAGUUUGCGGCUCAACCGUAAAAUUGCAAUUGAUACUGGCAGUCUUGAGUACAGUUGAGGUAGGCGGAAUUCGUGGUGUAGCGGUGAAAUGCUUAGAUAUCACGAAGAACUCCGAUUGCGAAGGCAGCUUACUAAACUGCCACUGACAUUGAUGCUCGAAAGUGUGGGUAUCAAACAGGAUUAGAUACCCGUGUAGUC